CUUUCCACUAAUGUAGCAAGAGGGUUUCUUCGUGUUGUUAUUCCACAAGAUUAUCGGAUUUAUAUAACCGACACAAAAUACUUGAGACAACACGCAUUUCGAUCGCGUUUCUGAAUUAACGACUAGCUGUUCAACGUCUCAAUUAUUACGUAUACCGAAACGGAUCCAUUGUUCGCGCGGAUACUUCUAUCGAGAAGUGUUCGGAACGUGCUUCUUCCUGAACUCGUACAAGCAUCGUUUCGUUUCCUUCGAGUUACACGAAACUGCUUUUAGACAUAACGAGGUGCACCGGUGACCCUGAUUGUCGAAACCGUUCCCAGAAAGCCAACGAGCCAGCGAUACCGUCGCUUUUAUCUAUUUUUAUCUAUCGCUGCAGUUCUCGGAAUUUUGCAUACGACGCUGUACGAAGAAACGUUGCUGCGAUCGCGGAUUACUCUUCCCCAGACGAAGGUAUCAUGGCAACUGCUGCUUGAAUACGAAGGAGGGUGAUGAAAAUUCAUAGGGACGAGAUCCUGAACCGAUACGUUUCUAUCGCGGCGUUGAUAUAUGCAUCUAUUUGAUACAACCCUUCGGCGAUAAAUUAACCAGCCGCCUAUUAAUCGUCAAUACCGCUGGAUAAAACUGCGGAGAACAAGUUGUUUCAGGUACGCCAACGUGCUUUGCCUUCCAUUGUCAGCGAACUUCUUUUUGGUAAUUGUGUAGGACACACUUUACACGUAUAACCGUCUCUCGACCUUGUUUCUCGGUCUUAAUUUAUUUCAUAAAGAAUUGAUUUGAGACAAGUAGAAUCUGGCAAGAGAUCUUGAAAUGCAUUGUAUUUUGCAUUUGUACUUUGCAACAUCAGGACGUAAGGAGUGACUCCUACUUUUUAUUACUCAACGAAUUGUGGCAGCGAAAGAAGCGCGAAAGAUACAUAUGUAUGGUACGUCUGUAAGUGAAGUUAACGAGAAACGUCGAUCGAUGGAACACGAAAAUCUUGAUAAGAGGAGCAUUAAACGGUAACGGUAUUGGGGUGAACAUCAGCGUAUGUCGUCGACGUGGGAAGAUCGGCAAAAACGAUUCGACGCGAUUCGCGCGAGUCGGCGAGUUCGUGCACGGAACUUGUGACGAAGCCGCUCGCGGCGUGUUUCAAGGCUGAACCGCCUCUUCUCUACACUCUCUUCGUCUCCCUCUUUCUCUCUCUCGAUCUGUUCGGCCCCCUGUUCCCGCUGCCGCCCCCGCCAAAGAUGAGCCAACUCUUUCCUUUCUUAACCUUUUUCGAGCGUCUCUUUCUCGUUCGCUCUUUGUCCCUCCGUGUUCGUCGGUCUUGCUCAUUCCGUUUCCUCUCGGCUCUUUCCUUCUCGUUCUGGCUUCUUCGUGUUCGUUGGUCGCGCCGCACCACGGCACUGUGCUAUCCUAUCGCAUGACUCUGCAGGGUUACGCAACUACUAACAGAAGGCUAGGCGGAGGACGCGGGCUGCGGGGGCAGGGCAGAGCCAGUGGAUCGCGCAUGAUCGCUCUAUAACAGUGGUACUCAUCGAACCGUGAACGACCGAUUCGAUUUUCCGAAACUCCACGCGAGUUUCGGAUCGAAGUUUAGCGAGACCUCUUUUCAUCGACGACUGCCUUCGCUCGGCUAGAACGCGACACGUACGAUGCACAUCCAUGCGCAUUAACGACUGUCGGUAAUUGUUUGCUGCGUCACUUGUGCCGGUACUUUAAGUACUUUUCGGUGGACGGUUCAUCUGCCGUCACUGGACCGUAACUCGAGAGUCAUGAUUUUUCUACGUUUAUCGAACGUGGAAAUAAUCUAGUACCAAGAGGCGUACAGGUCGUUAAGUUGUCACCGACUCGUACUUGCGUGUACUAGUUAUUCGAUCUUUGAUUUUGUAGCGAGCUUUAUCGUUGAGAUUUCGUAUCGAAACGAGCGCGUCGAUGCG
rnacentral:lncRNA from 1 species